UGGGGGAUAUUGCACAAUGGGCGAAAGCCUGAUGCAGCGACGCCGCGUGGGGGAUGAAGGCUUUCGGGUUGUAAACCUCUUUCGCUAUCGAACAAGGCCCGCUUAGGGUGGGUUGAGGGUAGGUGGAGAAGAAGCGCCGGCUAACUACGUGCCAGCAGCCGCGGUAAUACGUAGGGCGCGAGCGUUGUCCGGAAUUAUUGGGCGUAAAGGGCUUGUAGGCGGCUUGUUGCGCCUGCUGUGAAAACGCGGGGCUUAACUUCGCGCGUGCAGUGGGUACGGGCAGGCUUGAGUGUGGUAGUGGUGACUGGAAUUCCAGGUGUAGCGGUGGAAUGCGCAGAUAUCUGGAGGAACACCGAUGGCGAAGGCAGGUCACUGGGCCAUUACUGACGCUGAGGAGCGAAAGCAUGGGUAGCGAACAGG
rnacentral:rRNA from 1 species